UCGUGUCGUGAGAUGUUCGGUUAAGUCCGGCAACGAGCGCAACCCACAUCCUUAGUUGCCAGCAGUUCGGCUGGGCACUCUAGGGAAACUGCCCGUGAUAAGCGGGAGGAAGGUGUGGAUGACGUCAAGUCCUCAUGGCCCUUACGGGUUGGGCUACACACGUGCUACAAUGGUGCUCACAGUGGGUUAAUCCCCAAAAGGCAUCUCAGUUCGGAUUGUCGUCUGCAACUCGACGGCAUGAAGUCGGAAUCGCUAGUAAUCGCAGAACAGCAUGCUGCGGUGAAUACGUUCCCGGGCCUU
rnacentral:rRNA from 1 species